rnacentral:rRNA from 1 species
UCUAUCGCCACAGCACCCUGAACACGCCCAGUCUCAGAAGCUAAGCAGGGUUGGGCCUGGUUAGUACUUGGAUGGGGGAAGCUGACUAUAGGGAGCCCAGUGUCGCAAGGU